AUUGAACGCUGGCGGCAGGCCUAACACAUGCAAGUCGAGCGGUAACAGGAAGAAGCUUGCUUCUUUGCUGACGAGUGGCGGACGGGUGAGUAAUGUCUGGGAAACUGCCUGAUGGAGGGGGAUAACUACUGGAAACGGUAGCUAAUACCGCAUAACGUCGCAAGACCAAAGAGGGGGACCUUCGGGCCUCUUGCCAUCGGAUGUGCCCAGAUGGGAUUAGCUAGUAGGUGGGGUAACGGCUCACCUAGGCGACGAUCCCUAGCUGGUCUGAGAGGAUGACCAGCCACACUGGAACUGAGACACGGUCCAGACUCCUACGGGAGGCAGCUGUGGGGAAUAUUGCACAAUGGGCGCAAGCCUGAUGCAGCCAUGCCGCGUGUAUGAAGAAGGCCUUCGGGUUGUAAAGUACUUUCAGCGGGGAGGAAGGGAGUAAAGUUAAUACCUUUGCUCAUUGACGUUACCCGCAGAAGAAGCACCGGCUAACUCCGUG
rnacentral:rRNA from 1 species